rnacentral:rRNA from 1 species
GUGGGGAAUAUUGGACAAUGGGGGCAACCCUGAUCCAGCAAUGCCGCGUGUGUGAAGAAGGCCUGCGGGUUGUAAAGCACUUUCAGCAGUGAGGAAAAGGUGAGUAUUAAUACUGCUCACUCUUGACGUUAGCUGCAGAAGAAGCACCGGCUAACUCUGUGCCAGCAGCCGCGGUAAUACAGAGGGUGCAAGCGUUAAUCGGAAUUACUGGGCGUAAAGGGCGCGUAGGCGGAUAGCCAAGUCAGAUGUGAAAGCCCCGGGCUUAACCUGGGAAAGCCAUUUGAAACUGGUUGUCUAGAGUGCAGUAGAGGGAAGUGGAAUUUCCGGUGUAGCGGUGAAAUGCGUAGAUAUCGGAAGGAACACCAGUGGCGAAGGCGACUUCCUGGACUGACACUGACGCUGAGGCGCGAAAGCGUGGGGAGCAAACAGG